GAUGAACGCUGGCGGCGUGCUUAACACAUGCAAGUCGAGCGAGAAGUUUUGAAAAGAUUCUUCGGAUGAAAUUUAAAAUGGAAAGCGGCGGACGGGUGAGUAACGCGUAGGCAACCUGCCCCAUACAAAGGGAUAGCAUUUGGAAACGAAUAUUAAUACCUUAUGAAACUUAACUAGUGCAUGCUAGGUAGGUCAAAGAUUUAUCGGUAUGGGAUGGGCCUGCGUCUGAUUAGCUAGUUGGUGAGGUAACGGCUCACCAAGGCGACGAUCAGUAGCCGACCGGGGGGGGGGAAGGGCCAAAUUGGAACGGAGCAACGGUCAAAAAUCCUACGGGAGGGAGAGGGGGGGAAAAUUGGAAAAGGGGGGAAACCCUGAGGAAGAAACGGCGGGGAAAAAGGGAAGGCCUUGGGGUCGAAAAGUUUGUUUCAAGGGGAAAAAAACGGAAAGAAACCUAGGAGAAAGCCCCGGCAAACUCCGU
rnacentral:rRNA from 1 species